rnacentral:rRNA from 1 species
UACGUAAGUGGCUAGCGUUAUCCGGAUUUAUUGGGCAUAAAGAGUACGUAGGCGGUUGCCUAAGUCAGAUGUUAAAUCCUACAGCUUAACUGUAGUCAGCAUUUGAAACUGGGCAACUAGAGAUUAAGAGAGGAAAGUGGAACUCACAGUGUAGCGGUGAAAUGCGUAGAUAUUGUGGGGAACACCAGUGGCGAAGGCGGCUUUCUGGCUUGAUUCUGACGCUGAGGUACGAAAGCGUGGGGAGCAAACGGGAUUAGAUACCCCGGUAGUCCACGCCGUAAACGUUGUUCACUAGGUGUAGGAAGCAUCGACCCUUUCUGUGCCACAGAUAAUUCGUUAAGUGAACCGCCUGGGAAGUACGACCGCAAGGUUA